AGGACGAACGCUGGCGGCGUGCCUAAUACAUGCAAGUCGAACGGUCUUUCUAUGGAAGCUUGCUUCCGCUGAGAAGAUAGUGGCGAACGGGUGAGUAACACGUGGGUAACCUGCCCAUAAGAGGGGGAUAACAUCCGGAAACGGGUGCUAAUACCGCAUAGUUUUCUUGAUCGCAUGAUCGGGAAAGAAAAGACGGCCUUUGUGCUGUCGCUUAUGGAUGGACCCGCGGCGUAUUAGUUAGUUGGUGAGGUAACGGCUCACCAAGACGAUGAUACGUAGCCGACCUGAGAGGGUGAUCGGCCACAUUGGGACUGAGACACGGCCCAAACUCCUACGGGAGGCAGCAGUAGGGAAUCUUCCGCAAUGGACGAAAGUCUGACGGAGCAACGCCGCGUGAGUGAAGAAAAGGUUUUCGGAUCGUAAAACUCUGUUGUCAGAGAAGAACAAGUUGGAGAGUAACUGCUCCAGCCUUGACGGUAUCUGACCAGAAAGCCACGGCUAACUACGUGCCAGCCGCUGC
rnacentral:rRNA from 1 species